GGUCGGCUUAGUCUUAAACUAGAUUGGUUUAGUAGCAUGAAACUGAAAAUACUGCUUUCUACCUUUUUACUUUCUCAAACUUGGUCGGCUCGGAUUUUCAUUGGGUCAACUCAACUAGUGUGCCAAGCAUACCAAAUGCUAUUUUUCAACCUUUCUUCUCCAAAUUAAUUUUUAGGCCAGACUUGCCUUCUAAAAUUGAUUUAAUUCUCAUUAAAACUCUUUAAAUUUGAAUUACACAUAACUUAUACUCAAAACUCUUUAUCAUCAUCAAAAUC
rnacentral:lncRNA from 1 species